rnacentral:rRNA from 1 species
AUGGUGCAAUACCCGAAUUUAUAUAAGAUUGUUAAACAUAAAUUUGUCACCAUCAAACAAGUUUUGGGACAAGAAAACCCUGAUAUUUCUUUUCGUAGGGACCUAUUAGGACCUCGCCUGGCAGCUUGGAAUGAGCUACUCAUACGUCUAGAGGCUAUUCAGCUGUCAGAUGAACCGGACAUCUUUCGAUGGAAUUUGCAUCAGAAUGGCAAGUUUACAGUCAAAUCCAUGUAUGAUGCAAUGGUUCAUUGUGAUAUUCCGGUUGAUAACAGGAAAUUGUGGAAGUUUAAAAUUCCUCUAAGAGUGAAGAUAUUCCUCUGGUUUCUAAACAGAGGGGUCAUCUUAACUAGAGAUAACCUGGCAUGA